rnacentral:rRNA from 1 species
UACGAAGGGGGCUAGCGUUGUUCGGAAUUACUGGGCGUAAAGCGCACGUAGGCGGAUUUGUAAGUCAGGGGUGAAAUCCCGGGGCUCAACCUCGGAACUGCCUUUGAUACUGCAAGUCUAGAGUCCGGAAGAGGUGGGUGGAAUUCCUAGUGUAGAGGUGAAAUUCGUAGAUAUUAGGAAGAACACCGGUGGCGAAGGCGGCCCACUGGUCCGGUACUGACGCUGAGGUGCGAAAGCGUGGGGAGCAAACAGG